UACAGAGGGUGCAAGCGUUAAUCGGAAUUACUGGGCGUAAAGCGUGCGUAGGCGGUUCGUUAAGUCUGCUGUGAAAGCCCUGGGCUCAACCUGGGAACUGCAGUGGAUACUGGCGGACUAGAGUGUGAUAGAGGAUGGUGGAAUUCCCGGUGUAGCGGUGAAAUGCGUAGAGAUCGGGAGGAACACCAGUGGCGAAGGCGGCCAUCUGGAUCAACACUGACGCUGAGGCACGAAAGCGUGGGGAGCAAACAGG
rnacentral:rRNA from 1 species